GGCUCUUUGCUCACAUAAAUAUAAAGAGUCGAGCCUGCCCAGUGAAUUUUUUUUAACGGCCGCGGUACUCUGACCGUGCAAAGGUAGCAUAAUCAUUUGCCUUAUAAUUGAAGGCUAGUAUGAAUGGUUUGACGAGAGCAAUACUGUCUCCUUUUUAUUUUCAAAAACUUAACUUUUAGGUGAAGAGGCCUAAAUUUUAUUGAAGGACAAGAAGACCCUGUCGAGCUUAAAAGACAUUAUAGGAGUCUAAUAUAUUUUUAAAUAAAUUUUCUAUUAGGCUUUUUAGUUGGGGCGACUAGGGAACAAAAAAAGCUUCUUUCUAAUAAAUAAACAAUCAUGUUUAGAUCCGAUAAUAGCGAUCAAAGAAAUUAGUUACCGCAGGGAUAACAGCAUAAUCUCUCUUAAGAGGCCUAAUCGAAAGAGGGGGUUGUGACCUCGAUGUUGGACUAGAAUAUCCUAAAGAUGCAGAAGUCUUUAAGGGUCGGUCUGUUCGACCGUUAAAAUUCU
rnacentral:rRNA from 1 species